ACAAGUAUCAUUUCUUACUAGCGCCACCUACAGUACGGACGUUGUUUCGUACCACACCGGAAGUGGACUUUGGAGAAGGACAAGUGUAUAGCGGUGUUUGUAAACGCACAUUAUUGUUCUGACUGAAUGUACUGAUGAUGAAGAUGAUGACAAUUAUGCUCCGUUUGUUCGCUAACCGCUAACUCUACGUGUUGAUUAUAUCGUCCUACUGUAUGUGAGCAUAGCCCUUCUCCUUCACGCCGCUGUACAUAGCGUUUCAUAAUCAUGCGCUCAUUAGCAUGCGCUCACCGCCACUGGAUGUGCGGGAGGACGGGGCGGGGCUUAGAGGGGAUGCUGCGUUCAACAAAAGUGGGAAUACUGAUUUCCUAUUACGAAAAGUGAACUCCAGUAAUUGAGCGAGGUGACGUUAUGUAACGUUAUAAAACAAUACCGACAGUAUUUUGAAAAAAAAAACUAUCAAAACAAUGUAUUUGAAUUUACCUGACAAAUUGAGGUCCUCACACCUCGGUGAGGCCUCACCAUUGCACUUACAACAGUGCAGUACCACGAAUAAAGCAGUUCACUGGUACGGAUUGCGUGAAGCGUGACAUUUCCGACUUCUCAGCAGCCCGUGAACGCAGCAUUAGAUAGCGUCAGCAUACAAGAAUAGAGUAAAAUAAGCUUUUAUAAGUAACUUCGGUGGGUUUAUGUUUCCUAGUCUGAUGCCCACAAACAAGGGAUCUAUUUUUUCCAGAGCGACAUAUUCCACCGUAGUUUCAGCAAAGCUCCUGACGCCCAUGGUGAGCACGAGGUCACAGGAGUGUGCCCACGAUGAGCGUGCUCGGGAAGGUCCAACAAAUGAUCGACAAUUUGUCGGUCAUGCAUUCUGAUUGGUUGUUUUUCUUCGGCCGGCGUGGUUUCUUGCCAAUCAAAUUAGAGCGAAGUGAAAUGUUCGGCCUCAGGACUGUAUUUAUAACAACGCAUCUCGAGCAAAAGCGGCACACCUGAACUGGGACUCCCACAAUCUUUUGCUGUUGCCCUGACCCUGUCCCCCCGCCCUUCCCCCCCAACCCUAAUGUGCGCCCCCUCCUCCUCCAGUGAAAUACCUGAGCCUGUGAUGCUGGAUUUCAAGUGGCCAAUAGUGAUAUGAAAAAUAAGAUGUGGUGCUGCUCUUCGACUUGAGCCCCCCCCCCGACCCCCUCCCUUCACAGCCAUACUCUCACGUCAACGAUAAUCUUUAAAAAGUAGCAAAAUGUAAUGAAUCCAACUUGAAAUGAUCAUGUCAUGUGUUAUGAUGUUACGUGUCCUCCAGCAACAGCUCUGCCUCACUCCAUGCAAACGACAUACGUACAAACUACGUCGUAAUAAUACAUAACGGUACUUACAUACUACUUGAACAUGGUGAUACGAUGUCUGUUUACAAAAUGCUACCACGGGGCACUGUUGUCGUCGUCAUCCAGUGGCCGUGGUGUAUCCGAUGAAUAUAAAUUCAUAUAUUACAAUUAAUAUUGCUCUGAAAUCAA